rnacentral:rRNA from 1 species
AGCGAACGCUGGCGGCAGGCCUAACACAUGCAAGUCGAACGCGCCCUUCGGGGCGAGUGGCGGACGGGUGAGUAACACGUGGGAACGUGCCCUUUGGUUCGGAAUAACUCAGGGAAACUUGAGCUAAUACCGGAUGAGCCCUACGGGGGAAAGAUUUAUCGCCGAAGGAGCGGCCCGCGUCUGAUUAGCUAGUUGGUGAGGUAAAGGCUCACCAAGGCGACGAUCAGUAGCUGGUCUGAGAGGAUGAUCAGCCACACUGGGACUGAGACACGGCCCAGACUCCUACGGGAGGCAGCAGUGGGGAAUCUUGCGCAAUGGGCGAAAGCCUGACGCAGCCAUGCCGCGUGGAUGAUGAAGGUCUUAGGAUUGUAAAAUCCUUUCACCGGGGACGAUAAUGACGGUACCCGGAGAAGAAGCCCCGGCUAACUUCGUGCCAGCCGCCGCAGUAACAC